GAUGAACGCUGGCGGCGUGCCUAAUACAUGCAAGUCGAGCGAACAGACGAGGUGCUUGCUCCUCUGACGUUAGCGGCGGACGGGUGAGUAACACGUAGAUAACCUACCUAUAAGACUGGGUUAACUUCGGGAAAGCGGAGCUAACACCGGAUAAUAUAUUGAACGGCAUGGUCCAAUAGUGAAAGACGGUUUUGCUGUCACUUAUAGAUGGAUCCGCGCCGCAUUAGCUAGUUGGUAAGGUAACGGCUUACCAAGGCGACGAUGCGUAGCCGAGCUGAGAGGAUGAUCAGCCACACUGGAACUGAGACACGGUCCAGACUCCUACGGGAGGCAGCAGUGGGGAAUCUUGCGCAAUGGGCGAAAGCCUGACGGAGCAACGCCGCGUGAGUGAAGAAGGUCUUCGGAUCGUAAAACUCUGUUAUUAGGGAAGAACAAGUGUGUAUUAAACUAUGCACGUCUUGACGGUACCUAAUCAGAAAGCCACGGCUAACUACGUG
rnacentral:rRNA from 1 species